rnacentral:rRNA from 1 species
UACGGGGGGGGCAAGCGUUGUUCGGAAUUACUGGGCGUAAAGGGUGCGUAGGCGGUCUGUUAAGUUGGAUGUGAAAACUCUGGGCUCAACCCAGAGCCUGCAUCCAAAACUGGCAGGCUAGAGUUCUGGAGGGGGUAGCGGAAUUCCUGGUGUAGCGGUGAAAUGCGUAGAUAUCAGGAGGAACACCGGUGGCGAAGGCGGGUCUCUGGGCAGUAACUGACGCUGAGGAGCGAAAGCGUGGGGAGCGAACAGG